AGAGUUUGAUCCUGGCUCAGGAUGAACGCUAGCGGCAGGCUUAAUACAUGCAAGUCGUGGGGCAGCAUGUCCCGCAGCAAUGCGGGAUGAUGGCGACCGGCAAACGGGUGCGGAACACGUACACAACCUUCCUUUAAGUGGGGAAUAGCCCGGGGAAACCCGGAUUAAUACCCCGUAACAUAAUGAAGUGGCAUCACUUUAUUAUUAUAGCUCCGGCGCUUUAAGAUGGGUGUGCGACUGAUUAGGCAGUUGGCGGGGUAACGGCCCACCAAACCUACGAUCAGUAACUGGUGUGAGAGCACGACCAGUCACACGGGCACUGAGACACGGGCCCGACUCCUACGGGAGGCAGCAGUAAGGAAUAUUGGUCAAUGGACGCAAGUCUGAACCAGCCAUGCCGCGUGGAGGAUGAAGGUCCUCUGGAUUGUAAACUUCUUUUAUCUGGGAAGAAACCCACGAAUUCUUUUGUGGUUGACGGUACCAGAUGAAUAAGCACCGGCUAACUCCGUGCCAGCAGCCGCGGUAAUACGGAGGGUGCAAGCGUUAUCCGGAUUCACUGGGUUUAAAGGGUGCGUAGGUGGGUUGGUAAGUCAGUGGUGAAAUCUCCAGGCUUAACUUGGAAACUGCCAUUGAUACUAUCAAUCUUGAAUACCGUGGAGGUCAGCGGAAUAUGUCAUGUAGCGGUGAAAUGCUUAGAUAUGACAUAGAACACCAAUUGCGAAGGCAGCUGGCUACACGAAUAUUGACACUGAUGCACGAAAGCGUGGGGAUCAAACAGGAUUAGAUACCCUGGUAGUCCACGCCCUAAACGAUGGAUACUCGACAUACGCGAUAUACAGUGUGUGUCUGAGCGAAAGCAUUAAGUAUCCCACCUGGAAGUACGAUCGCAGAUUGAAACUCAAAGGAAUUGGCGGGGGUCCGCACAAGCGGUGAGCAUGUGUUUAAUUCGAUGA
rnacentral:rRNA from 1 species